rnacentral:rRNA from 1 species
GUGCUAAGUGUUGGAGGGUUCCGCCCUUCAGUGCUGCAACUAACGCAUUAAGCACUCCGCCUGGGGAGUACGACCGCAAGGUUGAAACUCAAAGGAAUUGACGGGGGCCCGCACAAGCGGUGGAGCAUGUGGUUUAAUUCGAUGCUACGCGAAGAACCUUACCAGGUCUUGACAUCUUCUGCCAACCUAAGAGAUUAGGCGUUCCCUUCGGGGACAGAAUGACAGGUGGUGCAUGGUUGUCGUCAGCUCGUGUCGUGAGAUGUUGGGUUAAGUCCCGCAACGAGCGCAACCCUUAUUGUUAGUUGCCAGCAUUCAGUUGGGCACUCUAGCAAGACUGCCGGUGACAAACCGGAGGAAGGUGGGGAUGACGUCAAAUCAUCAUGCCCCUUAUGACCUGGGCUACACACGUGCUACAAUGGACGGUACAACGAGUCGCGAAACCGCGAGGUCAAGCUAAUCUCUUAAAGCCGUUCUCAGUUCGGAUUGUAGGCUGCAACUCGCCUACAUGAAGUUGGAAUCGCUAGUAAUCGUGGAUCAGCAUGCCACGGUGAAUACGUUCCCGGGCCUUGUACACACCGCCCGUCACACCAUGAGAGUUUGUAACACCCAAAGCCGGUGAGGUAACCUUCGGGGACCAGCCGUCUAAGGUGGGACAGAUGAUUAGGGUGAAGUCGUAACAAGGUAGCCGUAG